GUUGAUAUACCUACCUUGAUAGCUUGUGAAGUUCAGAGAUCAGACAAUCCAGGUGCUUAGUGUGUGGAGCUGAUAGUAGAGAGAAGGGGGAGCAGCAGGCGGGGGUCCCCCUGAGCUUAUUUUCCUACUACAGCACAACAUGCUCUGAAUAACAAGCCACAGGCAUUUCUGGGCACCCCUUGGUCCCACCUUAAAAAACUGGGAACAAUGAAAGUGUAACUAGAUUCAAACAAUUGUGGAUGAGCUCCUCUCUGGGGGAGAGGGGCAGUGGAGGGGGUAGGUUAAGUCAGAUACCC
rnacentral:lncRNA from 1 species